GAUGAACGCUGGCGGCGUGCCUAAUACAUGCAAGUCGAGCGAACGGACGAGAAGCUUGCUUCUCUGAUGUUAGCGGCGGACGGGUGAGUAACACGUGGAUAACCUACCUAUAAGACUGGGAUAACUUCGGGAAACCGGAGCUAAUACCGGAUAAUAUUUUGAACCGCAUGGUUCAAAAGUGAAAGACGGUCUUGCUGUCACUUAUAGAUGGAUCCGCGCUGCAUUAGCUAGUUGGUAAGGUAACGGCUUACCAAGGCAACGAUGCAUAGCCGGCCUGAGAGGGUGAUCGGCCACACUGGAACUGAGACACGGUCCAGACUCCUACGGGAGGCAGCAGUAGGGAAUCUUCCGCAAUGGGCGAAAGCCUGACGGAGCAACGCCGCGUGAGUGAUGAAGGUCUUCGGAUCGUAAAACUCUGUUAUUAGGGAAGAACAUAUGUGUAAGUAACUGUGCACAUCUUGACGGUACCUAAUCAGAAAGCCACGGCUAACUACGUGCCAGCAGCCGCGGUAAUACGUAGGUGGCAAGCGUUAUCCGGAAUUAUUGGGCGUAAAGCGCGCGUAGGCGGUUUUUUAAGUCUGAUGUGAAAGCCCACGGCUCAACCGUGGAGGGUCAUUGGAAACUGGAAAACUUGAGUGCAGAAGAGGAAAGUGGAAUUCCAUGUGUAGCGGUGAAAUGCGCAGAGAUAUGGAGGAACACCAGUGGCGAAGGCGACUUUCUGGUCUGUAACUGACGCUGAUGUGCGAAAGCGUGGGGAUCAAACAGGAUUAGAUACCCUGGUAGUCCACGCCGUAAACGAUGAGUGCUAAGUGUUAGGGGGUUUCCGCCCCUUAGUGCUGCAGCUAACGCAUUAAGCACUCCGCCUGGGGAGUACGACCGCAAGGUUGAAACUCAAAGGAAUUGUCGGGGACCCGCACAAGCGGUGGAGCAUGUGGUUUAAUUCGAAGCAACGCGAAGAACCUUACCAAAUCUUGACAUCCUUUGACAACUCUAGAGAUAGAGCCUUCCCCUUCGGGGGACAAAGUGACAGGUGGUGCAUGGUUGUCGUCAGCUCGUGUCGUGAGAUGUUGGGUUAAGUCCCGCAACGAGCGCAACCCUUAAGCUUAGUUGCCAUCAUUAAGUUGGGCACUCUAAGUUGACUGCCGGUGACAAACCGGAGGAAGGUGGGGAUGACGUCAAAUCAUCAUGCCCCUUAUGAUUUGGGCUACACACGUGCUACAAUGGACAAUACAAAGGGCAGCGAAACCGCGAGGUCAAGCAAAUCCCAUAAAGUUGUUCUCAGUUCGGAUUGUAGUCUGCAACUCGACUACAUGAAGCUGGAAUCGCUAGUAAUCGUAGAUCAGCAUGCUACGGUGAAUACGUUCCCGGGUCU
rnacentral:rRNA from 1 species